rnacentral:lncRNA from 11 species
AGGCAAGAGGUGUCAGCAGAGGUGUUGAGAGUUGGUCAAAAUGUCAGAGGCACCAUUUCCUGAGUGAUGUCUCUACUUGCCAGCCUCAUUCUCUCCGAGCUUCUUCUCUUGAGGACCUAAGUUAGACGUUUGCAACAUUGCUCUCUUCUUCCUUUUUAAACAAUACCAUGAACAAGGAAAUGCAUCCAACCCGAAUCCCUUGCCAGCUGGAGGAUGGGCCCUGCUACUUUAAUUUCAGACCAAGGCAGAAAGAUCAAAGAGUGAAAGUUAAAUCUCACAUUCAAGAUCACCUGUGGAGACAUUCCAGAUGGCAUCAGUUCCUUCAUGGUUUUGGUUGCAUGACAAUUGUCCUUCUAAUGGGAGCUGUGAUCUCACUAGGCGUUUGGGCUUGGUGGAUCAAAGAAUCCCUGAAUGACCUUGAGAAGAAGAUCCAUAUCUCCCAAGAAACAAGCAGCCAAACACCCAGUAAUGUGAGUCCCCAGAAGAUCAGGCAAGAUAACCCUCAGGCUUUGCUACAAUAUCUGUGCAAGUCAUAUGGAAAUCACACCACAAGUAACUUUUCAGGUAUGUUUUCAAUGACCUGAGGCUAUCAAAAACUGAAGCAAGAUUGG